GACGAACGCUGGCGGCGUGCUUAACACAUGCAAGUCGAACGAUGAAGCACCAGCUUGCUGGUGUGGAUUAGUGGCGAACGGGUGAGUAACACGUGAGUAACCUGCCCCUCACUCUGGGAUAAGCCUGGGAAACUGGGUCUAAUACUGGAUACGACCGAUCUCCGCAUGGAGUGUUGGUGGAAAGUUUUUGUGGUGGGGGAUGGACUCGCGGCCUAUCAGCUUGUUGGUGGGGUAGUGGCCUACCAAGGCGACGACGGGUAGCCGGCCUGAGAGGGCGACCGGCCACACUGGGACUGAGACACGGCCCAGACUCCUACGGGAGGCAGCAAUGGGGAAUAUUGCACAAUGGGCGAAAGCCUGAUGCAGCGACGCCGCGUGAGGGAUGACGGCCUUCGGGUUGUAAACCUCUUUCACCAGGGACGAAGCUAACGUGACGGUACCUGGAGAAGAAGCACCGGCUAACUACGUG
rnacentral:rRNA from 1 species